UCCAAUGGUAGAGCAGCUGCCUUGUAAGCAGACGGUUGGGGGUUCGAGUCCCUCCACUGG
rnacentral:tRNA from 1 species